CUGCUGCCUUCCGUAGGAGUUUGGACCGUGUCUCAGUUCCAAUGUGGGGGACCUUCCUCUCAGAACCCCUACUGAUCGUCGCCCCGGUGGGCCGUUACCCCGCCGGCAAGCUAAUCAGACGCAUCCCCAUCCUUUACCGGCCGAAGCCUUUGGUCAUGAAAAUAUGCAUCAACAUGACAACAUACGGUAUUAAUCCGCCUUUCGACGGGCUGUCCCAUAGUAAAGGGACAGGUUGGAUACGCGUUACUCACCCGUACGCCGGUCGCCAUCAG
rnacentral:rRNA from 1 species